rnacentral:lncRNA from 1 species
AGGAAAACCACUGAUUGAGGCAUCAAAGAAGCUAAUCAAAGUGAAGAAAAUCUUGCCAUGUUGAAGUAGCUUGACUAAUAUACCAUCAGGUUUUUAAAUAAAACCCAAACCCAUCAAAAGAAAAUGCUUUCAGAAUGCUGAAAGUGUAAAAGCAAAGAUGAAGUGGGACCUGAGCAGAGGUGACACAAAGCCCCUAAAAGCUGGUAACACUGUAUAGUGGAUAGUGACUGACUGGAUGUUGAGAGAAUCAGGUCAAAUUUGCUGUCUUCAUUUCAUG